rnacentral:rRNA from 1 species
AAGCACAUUUCUUGUGUGACCGCGUACUUUUUGUAGAACGGGCCAACGAGUUACGUUAAGUAGCAAGGUUAAGCACUUAAGGUGCGGAGCCGUAGCGAAAGCGAGUUUUAACUGAGCGUUCAGUUACUUGACGUAGACCCGAAACCGGGCGACCUACCCAUGAGCAGGAUGAAGCGAAAGUAAAAUUUCGUGGAGGUCCGAACCCACGAGCGUUGAAAAGCUCGGGGAUGACUUGUGGGUAGCGGUGAAAUUCCAAUCGAGCCCGGAGAUAGCUGGUUCUCCCCGAAAUAGCUUUAGGGCUAGCCUCAAGGUGAGAGAUACGGAGGUAGAGCACUGAAUGUCCUAGGGGGUAUUGCACCUACCGAAGACUAUCAAACUCCGAAUGCCGUCAUCUUAUACUUGGGAGUCAGACUGUGGGUGAUAAGAUUCAUAGUCGAAAGGGCAACAGCCCAGAUCGUCAGCUAAGGUCCCUAAAUGUAAGUUAAGUGGUAAAGGAUGUGGGAUUGCACAGACAACCAGGAUGUUGGCUUAGAAGCAGCCACUCAUUCAAAGAGUGCGUAAUAGCUCACUGGUCGAGUGAUCCUGCGCCGAAGAUUUCCGGGGCUAAAACUUACUACCGAAGCUACGGCAUCAGUAAUGAUGGGUAGGGGAGCUUCCCAUACGGGUUGAAGCAUGACCGUAAGGACAUGUGGACAGUAUGGGAGUGAGAAUGUUGGCAUGAGUAGCGAGAUGUGGGUGAGAAUCCCACAGGCCGUAAACCCAAGGUUUCCAGGGGAAGGUUCGUCCGCCCUGGGUUAGUCGGGACCUAAGCUGAGGCCGAAAGGCGUAGGUGAUGGACAACAGGUUGAUAUUCCUGUACUACCGAUAACCGUUUGAGAGAAGGGAUGACACAGUAGGAUAAGCUAAGCACACUGUUGGUUAUGUGUGCCCAAGCAUUGAGGCAGUCAAAGUAGGCAAAUCCGCUUUGAUAAUGCUGGGAUGUGAUGGGGAGCGAAAUUUAGUAGCGAAGUAGCUGAUUUCACACUGUCAAGAAAAGUCUCUAUCGAGGUUAAAGGUACCCGUACCGCAAACCGACACAGGUGGGUGAGGAGAGUAUCCUAAGGCCAGCGAGAGAACUGUUGUUAAGGAACUCGGCAAAAUGACCCCGUAACUUAGGGAUAAGGGGUGCCACCAUCAGGUGGCCGCAGAGAAUAGGCCCAAGCGACUGUUUACCAAAAACAUAGGUUUCUGCUAAGUCGCAAGACGAUGUAUAGGAGCUGACGCCUGCCCGGUGCUGGAAGGUUAAGGGGAUCUGUUAGAGCAAUCGAAGCAGUGAACUUAAGCCCCAGUAAACGGCGGCCGUAACUAUAACGGUCCUAAGGUAGCGAAAUUCCUUGUCGGGUAAGUUCCGACCCGCACGAAAGGCGUAACGAUUUGGGCACUGUCUCAACAACAGACUCGGUGAAAUUGUAAUUCCGGUGAAGAUGCCGGAUACCUGCGACAGGACGGAAAGACCCCAUGGAGCUUUACUGUAGCUUGACAUUGGGUCUUGGUACUACAUGUACAGGAUAGGUGGGAGGCUUUGAAACCAGGACGCCAGUUUUGGCGGAGCCAUCCUUGGGAUACCACCCUUGUAGUACUGGGACUCUAACCAUAGGCCAUGAAUCUGGUCUUGGGACACUGUCAGGUGGGCAGUUUGACUGGGGCGGUCGCCUCCCAAAAGGUAACGGAGGCGCUCAAAGGUUCUCUCAGUACGGUCGGAAAUCGUACGUAGAGUGUAAAGGCAAAAGAGAGCUUGAUUGCAAGACAUACAGGUCGAGCAAGGAUGAAAAUCGGACUUAGUGAUCCGGUGGUUCUGCGUGGAAGGGCCAUCGCUCAACGGAUAAAAGCUACCCUGGGGAUAACAGGCUUAUCUCCCCCAAGAGUCCACAUCGACGGGGAGGUUUGGCACCUCGAUGUCGGCUCAUCACAUCCUGGGGCUGUAGUAGGUCCCAAGGGUUGGGCUGUUCGCCCAUUAAAGUGGUACGCGAGCUGGGUUCAGAACGUCGUGAGACAGUUCGGUCCCUAUCCGUCGCAGGCGUAGGAAAUUUGAGAAGACCUGUCCUUAGUACGAGAGGACCGGGAUGGACG